rnacentral:tRNA from 1 species
AAUUAGAAAGUAAAAUAUUACAUUUAGUUUCGGCCUAAAUUCAUGGCUCUAUCUAAGCCUCUAAUUU